AACAAACGCUGGCGGCGUGCCUAAUACAUGCAAGUCGAACGGGGAAAGCUUUCGGGUGAGUACUAGUGGCGCACGGGUGAGUAACGCGUGGAUAAUCUGCCUUAGAGUGGGGGAUAACCAGUCGAAAGAUUGGCUAAUACCGCAUAAGACCACAAGAACUGCGGUUCAAGGGGUCAAAGGUUUUUCGCUCUAAGAUGAGUCCGCGUAAGAUUAGCUAGUUGGUGAGGUAAUGGCUCACCAAGGCGACGAUCUUUAACUGGUCUGAGAGGAUGAUCAGUCACACUGGAACUGAGACACGGUCCAGACUCCUACGGGAGGCAGCAGUAGGGAAUAUUGCACAAUGGAGGAAACUCUGAUGCAGCGACGCCGCGUGAGUGAUGAAGGCCUUCGGGUCGUAAAGCUCUUUAGGUUGGGAAGAAGGGUAUUGGCUGAAUAAUCCAGUACUUUGACGGUACCGACAGAAUAAGCACCGGCAAACUC
rnacentral:rRNA from 1 species